rnacentral:miRNA from 1 species
GUGGGCAUCUAGGCUAGUUCUG